UAUUGAGAUGAAGCAAGUAGGAAUGUGUUUUUGAUCUCUAAGGGGGCUAAUGUCCUCCUUAUGAGACCUCACGAGACCUCAAGACCGAACCUAGUCAGGAUUGUUCACGGGAGAUGAAAAACUGUUAAGCUAGAAAGAUAUUUAUUGGAGGCACUUGUAGUAGUUGUCAUAUAUUGUCUACCUAAGAAUAUAUAAGUUUUAGCACGAUAACAGGACAACACUCCUUUUAAGAACUUGAAGAUGAGAGGUGAUUGCGAGGCAUCAUAAAUACAAAAAAACCUACACCAAUAUGGAAUGAAGAUACAAGGUGACCUGGAAAAAUGACUAAUUUCUAGUUUCAUAAUAUGUCUAUGAUGAAGAUCAUUCUAUGAAGAUGAUCG